rnacentral:RNase_P_RNA from 1 species
CGAGGCGGACGUGCGACCGCUGCGAGGGCGGUUUUAGACCGUCUUUGUGGAGGAAAGUCCGAGCACCAACGGGCAGGAGCGCCUGCUAACGGCAGGGCGGGGCGACCCGACGGAAAGUGCAACAGAAAGAAUACCGCCUGUAGACGCGCAUUUAGUUGUGCGUUUCAUCAGGUAAGGGCGAACCGGUGCGGUAAGAGCGCACCGCGUCGGCGGUAACGUCGGCGGCAUUGAAAACCCCGCUCGGUGCAAGGCCAAAUAGGGGAGCGCCAAGACGAAUGCCCGCGUCAGCUCCCGGGUAGGCCGCUAGAGGUCACGGGCGACCGUGAUCGCAGAUGGAUGGUCGCACAGGGUCCGAUUCGAGGGAGGAAGGCCUAGGGGUUGUAAACCUCGCUGGGACCCGGACAGAACUCGGCUUACAGUCCGCCUCGCCGA